rnacentral:rRNA from 1 species
UACGUAGGGGGCAAGCGUUGUCCGGAUUCAUUGGGCGUAAAGAGCGUGUAGGCGGCCAGGUAGGUCGGUUGUGAAAACUGGAGGCUCAACCUUCAGAGGUCGACCGAAACCAUCUGGCUAGAGUCCGGGAGAGGAGAAUGGAAUUCCUGGUGUAGCGGUGAAAUGCGCAGAUAUCAGGAAGAACACCCGUGGCGAAAGCGGCUCUCUGGAACGGUACUGACGCUGAGACGCGAAAGCGUGGGGAGCAAACAGG